AUUGAACGCUGGCGGCAUGCUUUACACAUGCAAGUCGAACGGCAGCGCGGGCUUCGGCCUGGCGGCGAGUGGCGAACGGGUGAGUAAUGCAUCGGAACGUGCCCAGUAGUGGGGGAUAGCCCGGCGAAAGCCGGAUUAAUACCGCAUACGACCUGAGGGUGAAAGCGGGGGACCGAAAGGCCUCGCGCUAUUGGAGCGGCCGAUGUCGGAUUAGCUAGUUGGUGGGGUAAAGGCUUACCAAGGCGACGAUCCGUAGCUGGUCUGAGAGGACGACCAGCCACACGGGGACUGGGACACGGCCCAGACUCCUACGGGAGGCAGCAGUGGGGAAUUUUGGACAAUGGGGGCAACCCUGAUCCAGCCAUGCCGCGUGCGGGAAGAAGGCCUUCGGGUUGUAAACCGCUUUUGUUCGGGAAGAAAUCCUCUGGGCUAAUACCCCGGGGGGAUGACGGUACCGGAAGAAUAAGCACCGGCUAACUACGUG
rnacentral:rRNA from 1 species